CUUCGGUCAGAUUAUCAACUUUGUUUCUUUCUCUGCUUUCAUGGUCAUGAGUUGUUCCAUUUUUUGACUCCCAAAAGCUAAUGUAGGUCAAAAAGGAUGGAAGAACCAUUUGGUCCAAAAGGCACCGGUCCUAGGAAAAAUGCAUGUACCGAUUGCACCUUCCAGCCUAUGUUUAAUUGAAAAGGAAGUGUGUUUCAGACACAGACCAAGCACCGAUGACCAAAGAAAUCAAAGGUGUUUGAUGCUCAUCUUGUACUAAUAAUAACAUAAUGAUAUUGGUACCAUUCAGCUGCAGUAGUAUAAUUCAGAACUGGGGGCCACCUGAUUUUUAUGAGUGCUAGACUGUUCUACGUGCAAAUACUGAAAAAAAAAAUCCAUGUGUUGCAAACAAUCCUUAACAUGUUUUUUUUUUGAAGGACAAUCCUUAGCUAGCAGUGUCAACAUAUGUCCAUCUUCCAUAACACCUUAUCUUCGAAGUGUGCAACUAGUCAACUAAUAGUAAACUAACCGCCUCUUAAUUACAGAUGUGGAUAUACUUUUUUUAUAUAUAACGAAAGAGAUGUUGAUAUGACCGAGUAUGUACGGGUGCACGAUUGAUGAUUCUGGUGAUAACCUAGGGAGGCACGAAAUGCAAGUGUGAUCAGUUGAUUACCAUGGAAGUUGAAGGCUUUCAUAGUUUCAUGGCAAGCAAAUUUACCGUAACCGCGUGUGAUCGUCGGUUUGACUUUGACAGUGACUGACCUGCUGGCUUUCCCGGCGGCGGGGGCGGCAGCUUUCGGCGGCGCGCACUGCCCUGCCCCGGGAGACAUUGGCCCGCGGCCGGGCCGUGGCGCGGUCAUGCUCCGGGUGAGCAGGCCCGGCACGUAGAAGUUGAGCAGCACGCCGUCCCCGCCACCCCCGCAGCUCCCCCUGCUGCCCCCGCCGCCCCGCCGCGCCCUCUGCCUCGCCGCCUGCUGCCGCUGCUGCUUCGACGCCGUCAACGACGCCGCCGCCGCCGCCUCGUGCCGCCCGGGCGACGACGACCGCGCCGCGGCCCCGUCCUCCCGCGGUGCCGGCGCGCGGUCCGCGUCCGCCGUGGGCCUGGCACCGCCGGCCUCGACGAGGUCGGAGAAGGAGAGCUCGCGAUCGGAGCCGCCGUCGGGGAAGCCGGCGAGGAGGCCCAGCAGCUCCUCCUCCCGCGCGGACAGCCGCCGCGUGGCGCCGCCCGCGAGCGCGCGCGCCUCCAUCGACCGCGCCCUCUCUUUUUUCUCGAUCUCAACCGCGUGCGGACGGCAACGGGCGCGGCGCGCGCGUGCUCGCUCCUGCGAAAAAGUUUUGAGAGUGAUCUCUGAACGGAC
rnacentral:lncRNA from 1 species